rnacentral:rRNA from 1 species
AUGACUGACCCUCCGAGUGGCGAAGCAGGCGGACGAGUCAUCCAGACUAUUUUUUUUUCAGCACCCGACAUCUCUUUCUCUCUCUCUUUUUUUCGUCAGCCGGCUGGGAACCCGGCCUUCCGACUUUUCUCCAGCCAGCUCUUCUCUUCUUUUUCUCUUCUCCAGCCCCUUUUCUUUUUCUCUUCUCCAGCCGGCACCCACUCCCCUUUCUUUGGAAUGAGUACCCGGCCACGGCAGUUGAGCAACGCAAGCCGGCCUGGGAGCGCAGAGGGGCCAGGGGGCAGGACCGGCUGGGUGGCGGCGGAGCCGGCAGGCGGCGAAGCCGGCCGUCCGGGUCGCGGCGGAGACGGAGGCCGGGUUGCGACGGAGACGGCAGGCGGCAGAGUGGGUCGUCCGUGUUGCGGGGGAGCCGGCAGGCCGGGUCGCCGGGCAGAGCCGGCCAGCGCAGGAGACCGGGUCGCGGCAGCAGCCGGCGGCCGGGUCACGGCAGAAGGCGGUGGCCGGGACGCGGCGCGGGAGCGGAGGCGGCGGGCCGGGUUGAAGACGAGGCCGGAGCAGCUGGUCGGGGUCGAGACGACGAGCAGAGAAGGCCGGCGUGCCUAUGUAGGCAGCCGAGUUGGUGGUGCUGCGGGGCGCGAGCGGGAUCAGAGCCGGCCGGGAUGCGGACGGAGCCGACGCUGCGCGCGGAACCGGACGGAGGCGCGAAGCCAACGCGGAGAGCGGCGCCGGCCCGAGGGUUGGGGGCGAAGCCGGCACGGGAGCCGUGACUCGGUUGGGGGCGACGGAGGCGCAUGGCCGGAUGCUGGGGAGGCGCAGCCGGCCGCGGUGCGGGCAGAGCGCGAGCCGGCUGGGGAGACGGGUCAGCCGGGUCGAGGAAGCGGCCAGCGCGGGGGAGGCGGCCGGCCCGGCAUGGAGUCGGAGCAACCGGCCAGGCGCAGGCGGCGUGGUGGAGCAGGAGGCCAGGCGGACGCGAGGCCAGGCGGCGCAGGGGAGCCGGUCCAAGGCCAGCGCGCAUGGCGCGUAGGCCGGAGUGGCGCAGAGCGGCGCCGCCGGCUAGCGGCGAGCCGGCCGCGAGGUGAGCAGGGCCACACGCGGCUUGGUGAGGCGAUGGGGAGGUGGCACGCGGCCGGACCCGGCGCGGUGUGGGAUGCGGAGGACGCGCGUGGGAGAUGUAGCGGACGGGGACGAGAAGGCAGGGAACCCGGCAGCGGCGGCGAUGCGUGA